rnacentral:rRNA from 1 species
UUUGAACGCACAUUGCGCCCGCCAGUAUUCUGGCGGGCAUGCCUGUCCGAGCGUCAUUUCAACCCUCGAACCCCUCCGGGGGGUCGGCGUUGGGGAUCGGCCCCUCCCUCGCGGUGGGCCGUCUCCGAAAUCCAGUGGCGGUCUCGCCGCAGCCUCUCCUGCGCAGUAGUUUGCACACUCGCACCGGGAGCGCGGCGCGUCCACAGCCGUUAAACACCCAACUUUCUGAAAAUGUUGACCUCGGAUCAGGUAGGAAUACCCGCUGAACUUAAGCAUAUCAAUAAGCGGAGGAAAAGAAACCAACAGGGAUUGCCCCAGUAACGGCGAGUGAAGCGGCAACAGCUCAAAUUUGAAAUCUGGCCCCCAGGGUCCGAGUUGUAAUUUGUAGAGGAUGCUUUUGGUGAGGUGCCGCCCGAGUUCCCUGGAACGGGACGCCACAGAGGGUGAGAGCCCCGUCUGGCUGGCCGCCGAGCCUCUGUAAAGCUCCUUCGACGAGUCGAGUAGUUUGGGAAUGCUGCUCAAAAUGGGAGGUAUAUGUCUUCUAAAGCUAAAUACUGGCC